UACGUAGGGGGCAAGCGUUAAUCGGAAUUACUGGGCGUAAAGCGUGCGCAGGCGGUUUUGUAAGCCAGAUGUGAAAUCCCCGGGCUUAACCUGGGAAUGGCAUUUGGGACUGCAAGGCUUGAGUGCGGCAGAGGAGACUGGAAUUCCUGGUGUAGCAGUGAAAUGCGUAGAUAUCAGGAGGAACACCGAUGGCGAAGGCAGGUCUCUGGGCUGACACUGACGCUCAUGCACGAAAGCGUGGGGAGCAAACAGG
rnacentral:rRNA from 1 species